rnacentral:ncRNA from 2 species
GGAGCCAAUUCUGGAGAGACUGCAUGUGCAGCGCCGAAGGGUUCACAAUCUCAGGCAAACGGACAGAAUCGUACUC